rnacentral:lncRNA from 1 species
CCCGUCCCGCCCGGCUGCUGCCCGCGUCCACCCCGCCGCGAUGGCGACGCGCUCGUGCCGGGAGAAGGCGCAGAAGCUGAACGAGCAGCACCAGCUCAUCCUGUCCAAGCUGCUGAGGGAAGAGGACAACAAGUACUGCGCCGACUGCGAGGCCAAAGGUCCUCGAUGGGCUUCCUGGAAUAUUGGUGUGUUUAUUUGCAUCAGAUGUGCUGGCAUCCAUAGGAAUCUUGGGGUUCAUAUAUCCAGGGUCAAGUCAGUCAACCUAGACCAGUGGACACCAGAACAGAUCCAGUGCAUGCAAGAUAUGGGAAAUACUAAAGCAAGACUACUAUAUGAAGCCAAUCUUCCAGAGAACUUUCGAAGACCACAGACAGAUCAAGCAGUGGAAUUUUUCAUCAGAGAUAAAUACGAAAAGAAGAAAUACUACGAUAAAAAUGCUAUAGCUAUUACAAAUGUUGCCUCCUCUGAUGCUCCUCUUCAGCCUUUGGUAUCCUCUCCUUCUCUACAAGCUGCUGUUGAGAAAAACAAAUUGGAGAAAGAAAAGGAAAAAAAAAAGGAAGAGAAAAAGAAAGAAAAGGAACCAGAAAAGCCUACAAAACCUCUUACAACUGAAAAGCUGCAGAAGAAAGAAGAUCAGCAAUUGGAACCUAAAAAAAGUACCAGCCCUAAAAAAGCUGCAGAGCCCACUGUUGAUCUUUUAGGACUUGAUGGGCCUGCUGAGGUGCCGGUGACCAAUGGGAGCGCAGUCGUGGGGCCAGCCCUGAACGAUGACCUGGACAUCUUUGGACCGAUGAUCUCUAACCCAUUACCUGCAACUGUCAUGCCCCCGGCUCAGGGGCCGUCCUCUGCACCAGCAGCUGCCACUCUGUCUGCAGUGACGUCUGGGGACCUGGAUCUGUUCACUGAGCAAGCUGCAAAGUCAGAAGAGGUGGCCAAGAAGCAGCUCUCCAAAGACUCCAUCUUGUCUCUGUAUGGCACCGGGGCCAUCCAGCAGCAGGGUGCUCCUGGUGUGUUUAUGGGACCCACGAAUCUACCAUUUACCUCACAAGCACCGGCUGCAUUUCCAGGCUUCCCGUCCAUGGGCGUGCCUGUGCCCGCGGCUCCCGGCCUGGUGGGCAGCUCGCUGGGGCCGAGCGCGGGCAUGAUGGUGGGCAUGCCAGUGCCCAAUGGCUUCAUGGGCAGCGCACAGACUGCUGUGAUGCCGCUGGCGCAGGGCGUGGUCGGGCCCCCAGGGAUGGUCGCUCACUUGGGCGCAGCCCAGGGGAAGUUUGGCCUGCAGCCAGCUCCGCAGAGCCCAUGGAACCUCCCCCAGGUGAACCAGCAGAUGGCUGGCCUGAGCCUGGGUGGCGCAGCCUCAGCGGCGGGCUUCGGGCAGCCGCCCAGCACCUCAGCGGGGGCCGCGGGCUGGUCCGGGGGCUCGUCGGGGCAGACGCUCAGCACGCAGCUGUGGAAGUGACCGCCCCGCUGGCAUUCCUGCUCAGACACACCCAGUUCCCCUGUCCAUUCAUGUACAUACAUGUUUUUUUCUUUUCCCCCAUUUGUUCAUAUUAAGAGUUACCUGAUUGACCGUGUUGGUCUUUACUGAUUGAAUUUGCUGUGGUGAAAAGCAGGUUGAGAAACCGUUCCAUGUCGAGGGCAGCUUUGCUCACAAUUCCCAGGAUUUCGCAGACACAGUCUCUGGGAAGCUGCUCAGUCAACGUGCAUAAUCAGUUUCCCUCUCGAUGAAAUUAUAGCUCUCAUGUUUGCAUAUAAGGGAAGUAGUUAUCAUGUUAGUAAUACCUCUAACAGUAUGAGCCCCACCCCCAGAUUAGCCAGUAAUCCUGUAGGAAGGUACUGUAUGAUCAAAUGUUUAAUCAU